UGAGAAAAGGACGGCAGAAAAGCC
rnacentral:miRNA from 1 species